UACAGAGGUCCCAAGCGUUGUUCGGAUUCACUGGGCGUAAAGGGUGCGUAGGUGGCCAGGUAAGUAGGGGGUGAAAUCCUGCGGCUUAACCGCAGGGCUGCCUUCUAAACUGUCAGGCUGGAGCACAGUAGAGGCAGGUGGAAUUCCCGGUGUAGCGGUGGAAUGCGUAGAGAUCGGGAAGAACAUCAGUGGCGAAGGCGGCCUGCUGGGCUGUUGCUGACGCUGAGGCGCGACAGCGUGGGGAGCAAACAGG
rnacentral:rRNA from 1 species